rnacentral:lncRNA from 1 species
AGGGAGGGAGGCAUUAGUCUGAUAUCUUACUAGUGUUGGUGGAGAGUGUCACGCCCCGAAUUCGGUUCAUGACACGGCCGUGUUAUUGCCAAGUUAAGCAUACAAUAACACGCAGCCACUUUAAAACUUUAAUUACUAAACAACUAUAUUCAUGAAAAUCAUUAAAUGUUCAGGUAUUAAAAUCCAUACAAAGCUUCUAAAAACAAUAUCAACAUUUAAUAUUUGUCUUUCCCAUAACCCUGGAGCAUGUCACGCUCCUUGUUCCUAGCAUCUCCUAUUCAUCUGUAAAGACAUAAUUAAAAUGGUGUGAGCUAU